rnacentral:rRNA from 1 species
UACGGGGGGGGCAAGCGUUGUUCGGAAUUACUGGGCGUAAAGGGCUCGUAGGCGGCCAACUAAGUCAGACGUGAAAUCCCUCGGCUUAACCGGGGAACUGCAUCUGAUACUGGAUGGCUUGAGUUCGGGAGAGGGAUGCGGAAUUCCUGGUGUAGCGGUGAAAUGCGCAGAUAUCAGGAGGAACACCGAUGGCGAAGGCAGGUCUCUGGGCAUUAACUGACGCUGAGGAGCGAAAGCAUGGGGAGCGAACAGG